ACUACAGAGCCUAGAGCUAUCUACAAAGAUCUCUGUAGAGCUGAAAGACCCCCAAGUGGGGAGGCUCUCACUCAAGUCUCGGGAUGACGUGACCCCCCAAGAACUCACACAAGACC
rnacentral:pre_miRNA from 14 species